GCCGCCGCGGUAAUACGGAAGAUGCGAGCGUUAUCCGGAUUUAUUGGGUUUAAAGGGAGCGUAGGCGGGCUGUUAAGUCAGCGGUAAAAUGUCAAGGCCCAACCUUGUCCUGCCGUUGAAACUGGCGGUCUUGAAUGCACACAAGGGAGAUGGAAUUCGUCGUGUAGCGGUGAAAUGCUUAGAUAUGACGAAGAACUCCGAUUGCGAAGGCAGUCUCCUGGGGUGUAAUUGACGCUGAGGCUCGAAAGUGCGGGUAUCAAACAGGAUUAGAUACCCC
rnacentral:rRNA from 1 species